UACGUAGGGGGCAAGCGUUGUCCGGAUUCAUUGGGCGUAAAGAGCGCGUAGGCGGCCAGGCAGGUCGGUUGUGAAAACUGGAGGCUCAACCUUCAGAGGUCGACCGAAACCAUCUGGCUAGAGUCCGGGAGAGGAGAGUGGAAUUCCUGGUGUAGCGGUGAAAUGCGCAGAUAUCAGGAAGAACACCCGUGGCGAAAGCGGCUCUCUGGAACGGUACUGACGCUGAGACGCGAAAGCGUGGGGAGCGAACAGG
rnacentral:rRNA from 1 species